UCAAUUUUACUGUUUUUUUUUUCCUUUUUAAUCUUUGGAUCGAAUCAUUGCUUAGUUCUUGCUUAAUUUCUCCAUUUUAUGGUGGGUCUUUGAUUGCAGGUUUAGCUCUGCGCGAGAACUGGGAAAUUUAAUUGUGACCUCCAAUCUAAUCGACUCUGCUUUGACUAAAAUUCUUGAGCUUCAAAGAGACCAAACAGCCUUGCCUUCCCCCGUUCAAUACAGAGUUUUUUAUCCAUCUCCCAAGUGCACAAUUGUAGCUUUUGUCUCUUCACCUGACUGCACUCAAAACCCUCUUCCUGGACAAGGAGAUUUAGUUCCCUCUCCUCUCUUUGACUUCCUCUGCACCGAAGAAUACCCUUCCGUCUCCAUUAACGGAGCCGCAUUAACCCUCUUUACCUCUCUCUACGAUCAUCUCUCUGGACUAAUAGAUGAGGUCAAAAUCUGAUACUUGUUUUAAUUUACGUUAACUUUUCGUUAACAAUUGUGAGACACGAAACAGCUUGACCAUGAGAUCUCCCUCAUGGAGUCAAAACCCGUGUUGGUAUCUGUUUUUAGAUCAACUUAUAUAUAUAUAUAUAUAUAUAUAUAUAUAUCUUGUGGAUAAAAGGAAAGUUUACAAGUGAGAAUAGUGGCAUUUUUCUGACAGAUUUCACACCGUUGCUUGUUUUGCAGUUGACUGUGAUUGAAGGUCGAUUAAUCAUCACUGGGCACUCGAUGGGAGGAUCCGUUGCUUCUCUCUUCACCUUAUGCCUGCUAGAAGUCAUUAAUAUAUCAAAACCCAAAUGCCGCCCCAUUUGCAUCACCUUUGGUUCACCCCUCAUAGGCGACUUUGGCCUCCAACACUCCAAUUGGAAUUCUUUCUUCUUGCAUGUAGUGUCCAACCAAGAUCUAGUCCCCGGACUCUUCCUCCCAUCCGGCAGAUCUCCUCCCACAUCCUCCCAUUCACAAACUACUGGUUACAAGCCCUUUGGGACAUAUCUCUUGUGCUCUGAACUUGGUUGUGCUUGUUUUGACAACCCUGAUUUAAUUUUGGAAUUGCUGAAAGUCAUAUCAUCAGAGGUUGCCGGAGGAUUGCGGGAUGUUGAUUACAGGAAGAUUUUAAUAAACCUCAAGGAGAGGGCAAUCUUCAAGGGACUUCAGCAGGUGGGUGAAAGGUUUGCAGAUCCCUUGUCAGCUGGGAUCGUCAUGGACCUUGAGAUAAUUGGAUUUGAUCAAACAAAGGUAAACAGCUUUCUCCCAAUUAAUGAUGUAGUAUGGUUUACACUCAACUUCACCAAAACCUGCAACAACUGCCCUAUUUAGAUUUGCCUUCCUGUUCUUUGGGUUCUUCUAUAACUUCUCAUUUUUUAAAUUCAUGGCAGCUGUUGCGGCACAACAUUGAUAUCAACACUGUGAUAAGGAUACUGGGAGUGGAAGCCAGAAUCCUAGCCCACAAAAAUAAAGCUUCUGAUGCCAAGAAACUGAAUGACAUAAAAAUACACAUGGCCCAGCUAGAAUGGUAUAAGAAGAAAUCAAAAGAUCUGAACAAGGGUUACUACGACUGCUUCAAAAACCAGGGGUCAAAAAGGGACAUUAAAAUUGAACAGUAUAGGGGACACCUCACAAUAUACUGGAAAGACAUGGUUGCACAAGUACAGAGGAAGCCCCAGAAGGAAGGAGCAUCAUUUCGAACCAGUUGGCUCUAUCCAGGGACAACUUAUAGAAGAAUGGUUGAACCACUGGACAUUGCUGCCUUCUACAGAGAGGGUAGAACAGACUACAUAAACAAUGGAAGAUCUCCUCAUUACAAGCUGUUGCAGCAAUGGUAUGAGGAAGAUGUGAAGCCCCCAUCCAGAGAUAAGCUCGAUUCCAAGAAACUAAAGGUGUCUGGUAUCCUAACUGAGGAUUCUUUGUUUUGGGCACAUGUGGAGGAGGCUCUCUUGUCAUGCGAAUCGCUCAAGAGUGCAAACUCUACUCUUGAGCAGAGAAAAUCAUCAUGGGAUAAUCUGGUUAAGUUUGGGGAGUAUGUAAUGGAACAGAUUGGAAACUAUGCAGUGUCCCCUGAGAUUUUCUUGGGGGAAAGCAGCUUCAUGAAAUGGUGGGGAGUGUAUGAGGACUACAUAGAUGCUUCCAAUAAUUCCUAUGGGUCACCAUUGAUCAGCUUUAUGAAGAACCGUAGUUAUAGACUGUAUGGUUAGAGGGCAAUCCAGUUUGUGUAUUGUGUUUAUUGUAUUGUGAGCAUUCAAUAGAUAAAACUAGAAAGAGCGUGACCUUUUUAUGACAACUUUAGAAACCAGGGGUUAAAAGAGACAUUACAAACUGAAGUUUUUGAGAGGAAACCUCAAGAGUAUACUGGGAAGCCAUGGUGGAACAAGUAGAGAGGAAGCCUCAGAAGGAAGGAGCAAUGGUUGAACCACUUGACAUUGUUGCCUACUACAGGGAGGGUGUAAGAAACAACAUAACCGAGGGAAGAUCUGAACGUUAAACGUUGUCCAAUUAUUAUAAAUGUCUUAUACAUUACGUGUGAAAAUACCAAAAAAAAUUAUAUUCAACAUUUAUGUUUGUAUACAAGCAAUAUUUUGGAUAGUUUGAUAUAAAAAACAAAUGAAGAAAAUGAAGAAAAACAUACAAAUAUAUUUACAAUGGACAAACUUAUACAAUUAGUAUAAAUGUCUUGUAUAUUUAGUACAAAUGUCUCGUACUUUGUAAAAAUAUAAAAAUAUAGUAUUUGACUUUUAUAUAUGUGUGAAAAUGUAAAAAGAAAAAGAAAAAUAGUUAGAGCAUUUGGUACCGUGAGUGAUGACUUCACCUAAAGAAAGGUUAAUGAAUAUUAUGGUCUCGAUGGAAGAGCGACUCCGGUAAAAUAUAUGGAUUAAAUUGAUGCUUUUCUUUUGACGAUGAAGUAGUUGAGUUAUGAAUACGAGGUUUUGCUAACAGCAUUGAAGGCAAGGAUUCCCUAAUAUACUCCAAUUCAUAUUCAAUUUGUAGACCUUCAACUAACUACUCUUGCUAACGAGCAUAUCCAAGUCAAUACAUAAGAUUAAUUAAGAUUAAGUAUUACGUAUGAUAAUUGAAACCCUAUUUAAAUAAAUAAUGACACAUAUAUAAAAAAUAUAUAUAUUUUUAAAAAAAUAAAUAACAAUUUAGAGAAUUUCAUAACUUAGCAUCAAACCUAUUGUAAGAAAGAGUAUUAUACAAUGUAGGGUUUAGGAUCCAAGUCAACCUAAGAUCAAAUUUAAGUUUUAAGAUCAAUUCACAUUCAAAACUAAGGUUUUAAGUUUCAAAAAUAUAUUUCUUAAACCAAUUAAAUGGAAAAAAGAAAAUUACAAAGAAAAUUUCUCCCUCAUCAGUUUCUUUUAUCUUGAAAACUAAAGGAAAUAUAUAUCAAUAUUUGAGAUGGAAAUUCAUAAUCUUAGGUGGUGUUUGUUUUUUUGGCUUUUUGCUGAAAACUAUUUAGUUUUAGAAUUUAGGUUUUUUUUUUUUUUUACUUUUUCAUGACUUAUAAUAAACUUUUUACUAAAUAGAAAAAACCAAAAUAUGUGGUUUUUUCUAAAUAGAAAAAAUAACACAAUGGUUUUUUUUACUUUUUAAUACUUAAUAGAAAUAAAAUACUACAAAAACAAACAUCUUAAUAUUUAAUACUAUUAAGUAUUAAGGUUCUAUUUAGAAUUAAGUAAAAAAACAAACACCACCUUAGAAACACAAAGAACAAAGAGAGUAUGAAGAGACCAUACCAUGAGAGAUUUUCCGAAAGGUUGGUAAACCAUGGUAAUCACCUUUGAGUCUUGCUGAGAAAAACAAACCUUAUUUAUUUUUAUUUUUUUAUCAUUUUUUCUCUUGUGUGGUGUACAUUUAAGAAAAACAAAUCUCAAAAAAAAAAAAAAACACAAACCAAAUAAUGCCAGAAUUUGGGUUGAGAAACACCCAAAAGAUAGUGGCCCAAUACAUGUGCCUAAGAAAAUCUUCAUGAGCCGAUAAACAUAGUCACAAAACUAGUAACAGCCUUGUAGCCAUAGUUGGUGUAGUAUGAGCAAGUGGGGUAUGAAGUAGGUAGGUGAGUAUUGCAAUGAAAUUUCCAGCACUGCUUCCUGAAUUAAGAAAUCACAUACCCAAGUCUUAGUCGUCGUCGUCGUCGUACCGUGUGAGAACCGGGAAGAAUCUUUGCUCGUAGACUGGCUUUUGUAGUCUUUCUUUAACAAUUACAAGUUAUCUGAAUUCCCUUCAUCCUCCUAUAUAAUAUUGUUUUGGUCUUGUUCUUGUUGCAUUGUGGCUAGGCAUCUCCAUGGAAGGAAGGAGGAUGAAUCAAGUUCCUUUGUAUGAAUCAAUUUCUCUGCUCUUUUUUUUUUUCAAUCCUUGAAUCGAAUCAUUGCUUAGUUCUUGCUUUAAUUUCUCCAUUUUCUGUUGGGUCUUUGAUUGCAGGUUUAGCUCUGCAAGAGAACUGGGAAAUUUAAUUGUGACCUCCAAUCUAAUCGACUCUGCUUUGACUAAAAUUCUUGAGCUUCAAAGAGACCAAACAGCCUUGCUUUCCCCCGUUCAAUACAGAGUUUUUUUAUCCAUCUCCCAACUGCACAAUUGUAGCUUUUGUCUCUUCACCUGACUGCACUCAAAACCCUCUUCCUGGACAAGGAGAUUUAGUUCCCUCUCCUCUCUUUGACUUCCUCUGCACCGAAGAAUACAAGUCCGUCUCCAUUAACAGAGCUGCAUUAACCCUCUUUACCUCUCUCCACGAUCAUCUCUCUGGACUAAAAACUCAGGUCAAAAUAUGAUAGUUGUUUUUAUUUUCGUUUCCUUUUUGUUAACAAUUGUGAGACAUGAAACAGCUUGACCAUGAGAUCUCUCUCAUAGAGUCAAACUACCUGAAGAAGAAGAAGACGUUACACAUAUCCAUCUGCGUUGCAUCAUCGCAUUACCCAUUGAUCGGUUGUGAUUCAACUCUUAAUAGGAAGACAGUAGAACUGGUGUUGGUAUCUGUUUUUAGAUCAGCUUAUAUGUAUCUUGUUGCUAAAAAGGGAAUGUUUAGAAGUGAGAUUAAUGGGAUUAUUCUGACAUGGAUUUCAUAUGGUUACCUGUUUUGCAGUUGACUGUGAUUGAAGGUCAAUUAAUCAUCACUGGGCACUCCCUGGGAGGAGCCGUUGCUUCUCUCUUCACCUUAUGCCUGCUAGAUGAAAAUUUAUUAAAACCCAAAUGCCGCCCCUUUUGUAUCACCUUUGGUUCACCCCUCGUCGGCGGCUUUGGCCUCCAACACUCCAUAUGGAAUUCUUUCUUCCUGCAUGUAGUGUCUAACCAAGACCCAGUCCCCGGUCUCUUCCUCCCAUCUGGCAGAGGCAGAUCUACGCCCACAUCCUCCCAUUCACAAACUACCGGUUACAAGCCCUUUGGGACAUAUCUCUUGUGCUCUGAACUUGGUUGUGCUUGUUUUGACAACCCUGAUUUAAUUUUGGAAUUGCUGAAAGUCAUAUCAUCAGAGGUUGCCGGAGGAUUGCAGGAUGUUGAUUAUGGGGAGAUUUUAAGAAACCUCAAGGAGAGGGCAAUCUGCAAGGGACUUCCGCAGGUGGGUGAAAGGUUUGCAAAUCCAUUUUCAGCUGGGAUCAUCAUGGAACUUGAGACAAUUGGAUUUAAUCAAACAAAGGUAAACAGCUUUCUCCCAUCUAAUGAUGUUAUGGAACAUGGUUUACACCUCAUUAAAUACUGCAACAACUGCCCUAUUUAGAUUUACCUUCUUGUUCUUUGGGAUUUUCCAUAACUAGACUCAUUUUUUAAUUUCAUGGCAGCUGCUGCAGCAUAACAUUGAUAUCGAGACUGUGAUAAGCGCAAUGGAAGCGGAAGCAAGAAACCUAACCCAGAAAAAUAAAGCUUCCGAUGCCAAGAAACUGAAUGAAAUAAAAAUAGACAUGACCCGGCUAGAAUUGUAUAAGAAGAAUUCGAACAUGGGUUACUACGAUUGCUUCAAAAACCAGGGGUCUAAAAGGGACAUCCACGUUGAACAGUUUAGGGUAAACCUCACAGGGUACUGGGAAGGCAUGGUUGCACAAAUACAGAGGAAGCCUCAUAAGGAAGGAGCAACAUUUCGAACCCGUUGGCUCUAUGCAGGGACGGUUUAUAGAAGAAUGGUUGAACCACUGGACAUUGCUGCCUUCUACAGAGAGGGUAGAAAAGACUACAUGAAUAAAAGAUCUGCACAUUACAAGCUGUUGCAGGAAUGGUAUGAGGAAGAUGUGAAACCCCCCUCUAGAGAUAAGCUUGAUUCCAAGAAGCAAAAGGUGUCCAGUAUCCUAACUGAGGAUUCUUGCUUUUGGGCACAUGUGGAGGAGGCUAUCUUGUCAUGCGAAUUGCUCAAGAGUGAAAACUGUAAUCUUGAGGAGGGAAAAUCAUCAUGGGAUAAUCUGGUUAAGUUCGAGGAGUAUGUAAUGGAACAGAUUGACAACUAUGCAGUGUCCCCUGAGAUUUUCUUGGAGAAAAGCAGCUUCAUGAAAUGGAGGGGACUGUAUGAGGGCUACAUAGAUACUCGCAGUAAUUCCCAUAGCUCGCCAUUGAUCAGCUUUAUGAAGAAUCGUAGUUAUAGACAAUAUGGAUAGAGGGGUAAUCCAGUUUGUGUGUUGUGUGUAUUGUUUUGUGAGCAUUCAAUGGAUAGAACUAGAAAGAGUGUGACCUUUUCCUUUUUUUUUUCAGUUGCUGCCCAUAUUCUCAGCACUAUUUUCUUCCUUCUUUUCCUCAGUUUUUUUGUUAAGAAAUGAAUAUUAUGAUGUUGCCGGGAUGCACUUUCAUUUUUGUUCCAUUACAUUGUGUUUUAUUCAUAUCCUAAACAAAUAAAUGUAAACAAGAAAAUCAAAUGAGACUUCAAAGAGUCUGUUCCUUUUAAAGCAAGGGAAAAAAAGGACAUGUUUGUUUACUUCCACAGCUGGGUAGAUUCAACUCCACCAAAAUUGGCAACAACUUCCCAUUGAAAAAUUCCUUUUAAGCUUGAAUGACAUAAAACUAGAUAUGUUCCAGCUAGAAUGGUACAAGAAAGAAAUCAAAAGAUGAGCACAAUGGGUUAUUAUGACAGCUUUAGAAACCUGGGGUGUAAAAGAGACAUUAAAAUGGAACCGAGGGGAAGACAUUGUAGAACAAGUAAAGAGGAAGCCUCACCAGGAAGGGCAGCUUUGCAAACCCUCUGGCUCUGUACAGGAACGAAUUAUAGAAAGAUGGUUGAACCACUUGACAUUGCUGCCUACCACAGAGAGGGUGGAAGAAACUACAUAACCAAUGGAGGAUGUAAACAUUACACGCUAUUAGAGCAAUGAUGCAAUGAAGAGAAGGGGACUUUGUCUUCCAAUAAUUUAAGAAAAUAAAACCAAAUAAUGCCAGAAUUUGGGUUGAGAAACACCCAAAAGAUAGUGGCCCAAUAUGAAGUAGUCACAAAACUAGUAACAGCCUUGUGGCCAUAGUUGGUGUAGUAUGAGCAAGUGGGGUAUGAAGUAGGUAGGUGAGUAUUGCAAUGAAAUUUCCAGCACUGCUUCCUGAAUUAAGAAAUCACAUACUCAAGUCUUAAUCGUUGUCAUCAUACCGUGUGAGAACCGAGGAAGAAUCUUUGCUCUUAGACUGGAUUUUGUAGUCUUUCUUUAACAAUUACAAGUUAUCUGAAUUCCCUUCAUCCUCCUAUAUAAUAUUGUUUUUGGUCUUGUUCUUGUUGCAUUGUGGCUAGGCAUCUCCAUGGGAGGAAGGAGGAUGAAUCAAGUUCCUUUGUAUGAAUCAAUUUCUCUGCUCUUUUUUUUUUCAAUCCUUGAAUCGAAUCAUUGCUUAGUUCUUGCUUUAAUUUCUCCAUUUUCUGUUGGGUCUUUGAUUGCAGGUUUAGCUCUGCAAGAAAACUGGGAAAUUUAAUUGUGACCUCCAAUCUAAUCGACUCUGCUUUGACUAAAAUUCUUGAGCUUCAAAGAGACCAAACAGCCUUGCCUUCCCCCGUUCAAUACAGAGUUUUUUAUCCAUCUCCCAACUGCACAAUUGUAGCUUUUGUCUCUUCACCUGACUGCACUCAAAACCCUCUUCCUGGACAAGGAGAUUUAGUUCCCUCUCCUCUCUUUGACUUCCUCUGCACCGAAGAAUACAAGUCCGUCUCCAUUAACAGAGCUGCAUUAACCCUCUUUACCUCUCUCCACGAUCAUCUCUCUGGACUAAAAACUCAGGUCAAAAUAUGAUAGUUGUUUUUAUUUUCGUUUCCUUUUUGUUAACAAUUGGGAGACAUGAAACAGCUUGACCAUGAGAUCUCUCUCAUAGAGUCAAACUACCUGAAGAAGAAGAAGACGUUACACAUAUCCAUCUGCGCUGCAUCAUCGCAUUACCCAUUGAUCGGUUGUGAUUCAACUCUUAAUAGGAAGACAGUAGAACUGGUGUUGGUAUCUGUUUUUAGAUCAGCUUAUAUGUAUCUUGUUGCUAAAAAGGGAAUGUUUAGAAGUGAGAUUAAUGGGAUUAUUCUGACAUGGAUUUCAUAUGGUUACCUGUUUUGCAGUUGACUGUGAUUGAAGGUCGAUUAAUCAUUACUGGGUACUCGAUGGGAGGAUCCGUUGCUUCUCUCUUCACCUUAUGCCUGUUAGAAGUCAUCAAUUUAUCAAAACCCAAAUGCCGCCCCAUUUGUAUCACCUUUGGUUCACCCCUCAUAGGCGACUUUGGCCUCCAACACUCCAAUUGGAAUUCUUUCUUCUUGCAUGUAGUGUCCAACCAAGAUCUAGUCCCCGGACUCUUCCUCCCAUCCGACAGAUCUCCUCCCACAUCCUCCCAUUCACAAACUACUGGUUACAAGCCCUUUGGGACAUAUCUCUUGUGCUCUGAACUUGGUUGUGCUUGUUUUGACAACUCUGAUUUAAUUUUGGAAUUGCUGAAAGUCAUAUCAUCAGAGGUUGCCAGAGGAUUGCGGGAUGUUGAUUACAGGAAGAUUUUAAGAAACCUCAAGGAGAGGGCAAUCUGCAAGGGACUUCCGCAGGUGGGUGAAAGGUUUGCAAAUCCAUUUUCAGCUGGGAUCAUCAUGGAACUUGAGACGAUUGGAUUUAAUGAAACAAAGGUAAACAGCUUUCUCCCAUCUACUGAUGUUAUGGAACAUGGUUUACACAUCAUUAAAUACUGCAACAACUGCCCUAUUUAGAUUUAGGGCAAUGAUGAAAAUAUCAGUAAUCACGGAUAUAUCAGUAUUUCGAUUUUACGGAUAUAUCGGAUAUAUCGGAGAUAUAUCGGUAGAUAUUUUGAAAAAAAAUAUCGGCAAGCUUAAAAUUGUUAAAAACUCAUGAAAAUAUAAGAAAAUCUCAUAAUAAUAUAAUUAAAAGUAUAAUAGACAUUUUAAAGUUAUUUUAUUGAAAAUUUUGAUAUAUGUAUAACAUGAUUUAUCAUAUUUGAUAAUAAUAUCGUAUGCGUCGAUAAAAAUAUGAAUUUUAUAAGUGUACAUUUAUUAUUAAAUUACACCUAAUAUUAUGAUAUCUGAUUAUAAUAUGUCUAAUUUUAAAAUAUAUAUUAGUAUUAAAAUAUGAUCCAUUUAAUUCAAUUGUAUUAAACAAUAUAAAAUAAAUAAUGAUAUAUAUAUAUAUAUAUAUAAUUUUUUAAUAUUUAAUUAAUUAUUAAUGAUAUUAAAAACAUUAUGAAGAAAAUUAUAUAAUUUUUUAAUUUUUGGUAAUUAAUUAAAAGACUUUGCAUUUAAUUAUAAAUUAAUUAUAAUUAAUUUACUCUUUAAAAUAUUCUUAUAUUUUCUUUAUAUAAUGAAUUUAAGUAUAUAUAUAGUUGUUGCAUAUUAUAUAUUAAAGGACAACUUAGCCCAAGUGGUAAGCGAGUGAACCCCAAUGUGAGGCAUUGUAGCACGUGCACUGUAGCAUCACUGUAGCGACUCUGACUUUCGUUGACCCGCAUUGACUACACGAUAUAUCGGAGAAAAAUCACUGAUUUAUCGCCAAAUCACCAAUAAAUCGCCGAUUUCUCGCGAUAAAUACCAAAAUAUAGUGUCGAAACCCUUCGAUACACGAUUUUUCGGCGCAUUUUCUUACUUGGAUUUACCUUUUUGUUCUUUGGGAUCUUCCAUGACUCAUUUUUUAAUGCCAUUUUAUUUUCCUUUUUGUUUCUAAAUUUUUAAAAAAUCGUUUUCACUUCUUUUUUUUAAGAAAAUUUUGGCAAAUUUUGAAAAUAUAAUAUUAGUGUUUUCACUUCUUUCUUUUUUUUUUUUUUCUUUUUUUUUUUAAACUCAAUUUUCUAAAAAAUGAAAAUAGAAAAACAUUGUCUAAACAUGUUUGUAAACUUAAUUUUAUUUUUUUAUAAAUGAAAAAAAAAAUCUAAAUGAGUAAGGCUUUAUUAAUUUUAAUUUUUUUCUUUUCCUUAUAUUUUCUUAUUUUAUUCCAAAUUUUCUUGCAACCAAACAUAAUCUAAAUGUUUACAACUUUUAUUGUAAGGAAUGAAUGACACUACUUUGUGAACUUUUAUGAUAAUAUUUUGAAUCAUAAAUUGUGUUUUUUUUAGUAAUAUCAAUUUUAUUACCAAUGACUUAAUUGUUAAUAACAAAAUAUAAUAUUUAUAAAUAUUUUUAUUCUCAACAGGCUACAAUUUUUACUCUUGUGAUAAAAAAAAUUUUGUCAUAAAUUACACAUUAUGAUGAGUUUUUCUAUUUUCCUUAUCAGCCAAUUCAACAAAUAUCAUAUAUAUUGUAAUGGCUAACAAAUUUUCACAUAAAUUUUUUAUAAGAUAAAGUAGAAUGGAAUUAUUCAAUUUCAAAAAAAAAAAAAAUGGUACCUAAUGAAAAAGAUAAAAUAUAUAGAUCAUCUCGAAGAAAUCAGGAAAGAUAAAUGAUGAGACCAUAUAUAGGACCCUUGAUGGAGACUAUUUUAAUUGAAGUGGUGUGCUCCUUCCGACUCAGAACAUGUUCAGCAUUGCACACAAACUAACAUCGUCGAUCUUGAGUAUGAAAAAGGUGAUUAGAUUCCAAGGUUGUCGUUUGUCCCAACUCCUCAUAUUAGAGGUGAUGCUCAAGCUAACGUGCCUCGCAGUUGAGCCCCGGCCAAUCGGUCUAAUAUGCUUUUCCAAUGGUGAGUUUCACUGCCACCAUGUAUUACAUUAAUUCCGAUAGCGCACAAGUUGUGUUUGUGCUAUUGCUUUUUGCCCUCACAAACAUAUACACAAGAGACAUUCAGACCAGAUCUGUUCUACCAUCCUCUAGGAAAGCAUUGUAGGUCAUUUGAAAUUGGGAUUUCAGCACCAGAGUCAAAUUGCCUUCCUUCCUGAAAGAUGAGCAUUUUUUAUACUCUUACAUCGGCUUUUAUGGAAAUGAAAUCAGCUUCUCAUUCUGUUACAUUUUUCAAUUUUGCUGCCUAUAACUGCUCACUGCCUGUUUGUGAGACAUUAUCCAGAUUUUCCCUGAUCAAUUAUAGAGAGGUCAUUGGACUCAUCCAUGAUUGGAAUUUCCUGUUAUCAUUAUUUGCAAAUCAUCAACCAUUUGUCAUGAUAUCUUAAGUUAAGCUGAGCACGAAUUUCAGCUAAGAUCCUCAGAACUAGAAAUAUGCACUGCAGGUAUUACUUGAUAUGUGAAUAUCCAAUACAAUAUUUUUUUACUAAGAGGAAUACGAAUUUGAAACACUUUCCAAUAAUUUAUCAAGUCAUAUUUUCGUGCUGUCGUGAUACAUGUGUCUACUGUAUGCAUGGCUUUUCUUUUCUACACAUGCCUUUAUCUUUGCACAUGACUCUUUUGAUACACGCCAGCAUCAAGGCAAUUGCCUAAAUCUAAAUCACAUCCUUUGUGUCACGUCUUCCUUGUUACCACGGUCCUCUUGUACACCAUGGUCCCUUAAUGUAACUUGUGCCACAAGCCCUUUGUGCAUGAAUUCAAAUUGUUCAAUCAUUUCGCCAUUUACACCUUUUAAGGUCCAAUAAGCGUAUACAAGAGACUACACUCAUUCUAGAUGAUAAAGUACAUUCAACUAACUACUCUUGCUAAUGAGCAUAUCCAAGUCAAUACAUAAGAUUAAUUAUUACAUAUGGUAAUUGAAACCCUGUUUAAAUAAAUAGUGACACAAAUAUAAAAAAUAUAUAUAUUUAAAAAUAAAUAAAUAACAAUUUAGAGAAUUUCAUAACUUAGUAUCAAACCUAUUGUAGGAAAGAGUAUUAUACAAUGUAGGGUUUAGGAUCAAAGUUAACCUAAGAUCAAUUUUAAGUUUUAAGACCAAUUCAAAUUCAAAACUAAGGUUUUAAGUUUCAAAAAUAUAUCUCUUAAACCAAUUAAAUAGAAAAAAGAAAAUUACAAAGAAAAUUUCUUCCUCAUCGGUUUCUUUUAUCUUGAAAACUAAAGGAAAUAUAUAUCAAUAUUUGAGAUGGAAAUUCAUAAUCUUAGAAACACAAAGAACAAAGAGAGUAUGAAGAGACCAUACCAUGAGAGAUUUUCCAAAAGGUUGGUAAACCAUGGUAAUCACCUUUGAGUUUUGCUGAGAAAAACAAACCUUAAUUUUUAUUUUUAUUUUUUUAUCAUUUUUUCUCUUGUGGUGUACAUUUAAGAAAAACAAAUCUUAAAAAAAAAAAAAAAAAAACCAAAUAAUGCCAGAAUUUGGGUUGAGAAACACCCAAAAGAUAGUGGCCCAAUACAUGUGCCUAAGAAAAUCUUCAUGAGCCGAUAAACAUAGUCACAAAACUAGUAACAGCCUUGUAGCCAUAGUUGGUGUAGUAUGAGCAAGUGGGGUAUGAAGUAGGUAGGUGAGUAUUGCAAUGAAAUUUCCAGCACUGCUUCCUGAAUUAAGAAAUCACAUACCCAAGUCUUAGUCGUCGUCGUCGUACCGUGUGAGAACCGGGAAGAAUCUUUGCUCGUAGAGUGGCUUUUGUAGUCUUUCUUUAACAAUUACAAGUUAUCUGAAUUCCCUUCAUCCUCCUAUAUAAUAUUGUUUUUGGUCUUGUUCUUGUUGCAUUGUGGCUAGGCAUCUCCAUGGAAGGAAGGAGGAUGAAUCAAGUUCCUUUGUAUGAAUCAAUUUCUCUGCUCUUUUUCUUUUCAAUCCGUGAAUCGAAUCAUUGCUUAGUUCUUGCUUUAAUUUCUCCAUUUUCUGUUGGGUCUUUGACUGCAGGUUUAGCUCUGCAAGAGAACUGGGAAAUUUAAUGGUGACCUCCAAUCUAAUCGACUCUGCUUUGACUAAAAUUCUUGAGCUUCAAAGAGACCAAACAGCCUUGCUUUCCUCCGUUCAAUACAGAGUUUUUUAUCCAUCUCCCAAGUGCACAAUUGUAGCUUUUGUCUCUUCACCUGACUGCACUCAAAACCCUCUUCCUGGACAAGGAGAUUUAGUUCCGUCUCCUCUCUUUGACUUCCUCUGCACCGAAGAAUACAAGUCCGUCUCCAUUAACAGAGCUGCAUUAACCCUCUUUACCUCUUUCCACGAUCAUCUCUCUGGACUAAAAACUCAGGUCAAAAUAUGAUAGUUGUUUUUAUUUUCGUUUCCUUUUUGUUAACAAUUGUGAGACAUGAAACAGCUUGACCAUGAGAUCUCUCUCAUAGAGUCAAACUACCUGAAGAAGAAGAAGACGUUACACAUAUCCAUCUGCGUUGCAUCAUCGCAUUACCCAUUGAUCGGUUGUGAUUCAACUCUUAAUAGGAAGACAGUAGAACUGGUGUUGGUAUCUGUUUUUAGAUCAGCUUAUAUGUAUCUUGUUUCUAAAAAAGGUAAGUUUAGAAGUGAGAUUAAUGGGAUUAUUCUGACAUGGAUUCCAUAUGGUUACCUGUUUUGCAGUUGACUCAGAUUGAAGGUCAAUUAAUCAUCACUGGGCACUCCCUGGGAGGAUCCGUUGCUUCUCUCUUCACCUUAUGCCUGCUAGAUGGAAAUUUAUUAAAACCCAACUGCCGCCCCUUUUGUAUCACCUUUGGUUCACCCCUCAUCGGCGGCUUUGGCCUCCAACACUCCAUAUGGAAUUCUUUCUUCCUGCAUGUAGUGUCUAACCAAGACCCAGUCCCCGGUCUCUUCCUCCCAUCUGGCAGAGGCAGAUCUACGCCCACAUCCUCCCAUUCACAAACUACCGGUUACAAGCCCUUUGGGACAUAUCUCUUGUGCUCUGAACUUGGUUGUGCUUGUUUGGAAAAGCCUGAUUUAAUUUUGGGAUUGCUGAAAGUCAGAUCAUCCGAGGUUGCCGGAGGAUUGCAGGAUGUUGAUUAUGGGGAGAUUUUAAGAAACCUCAAGGAGAGGGCAAUCUGCAAGGGACUUCAGCAGGUGGGUGAAAGGUUUGCAGAUCCUUUUACAGCUGGGAUCAUCAUGGACCUUGAGAUAAUUGGAUUUGAUCAAACAAAGGUAAACAGCUAGCUUUCUCCCAUCUAAUGAUGUUAUGAAACAUGGUUUACACUUCACCAAAUACUGCAACAACUGCCCUAUUUAGAUUUGCCGUCUUGUUCUUUGGGAUCUUCCAUAACUAGACUCAUUUUUUAAUUUCAUGGCAGCUGCUGCAGCAUAACAUUGAUAUCGAGACUGUGAUAAGCACAAUGGAAGAGGAAGCCAGAAACCCAACCAAAAAAAAUAAAGCUUUCGAUGCCAAGAUUCUGAAUCACAAAAAAAAAGACAUGGCCGGGCUAGAAUGGUAUAAGAAGAAAUCAAAAGAUCUGAACAAGGGUUACUACGACUGCUUCAAAAACCAGGGGUCAAAAAGGGACAUUAAAAUUGAACAGUAUGGGGGACACCUCACAUUAUACUGGAAAGACAUGGUUGCACAAGUACAGAGGAAGCCCCAGAAGGAAGGAGCAACAUUUCGAACCCGUUGGCUCUAUGCAGGGACGGUUUAUAGAAGAAUGGUUGAACCACUGGACAUUGCUGCCUUCUACGUAGAGGGUGGAACAGACUACAUGAAGAAUGAAAGAUCUCUUCAUUACAAGCUGUUGCAGCAAUGGUAUGAGGAAGAUGUGAAACCCCCCUCUAAGGAUAAGCUUGAUUCCAAGAAGCAAAAGGUGUCUGGUAUCCUAACUGAGGAUUCUUGCUUUUGGGCACAUGUGGAGGAGGCUAUCUUGUCAUGCGAAUUGCUUAAGAGUGAAAACUGUACUCUUGAGCAGGAAAAAUCAUCAUGGGAUAAUCUGGUUAAGUUCGAGGAGUAUGUAAUGGAACAGAUUAACAACUAUGCAGUGUCCCCUGAGAUUUUCUUGGGGGAAAGCAGCUUCAUGAAAUGGUGGGGACUGUAUGAGGGCUACAUAUAUGCUCGCAGUAAUUCCCAUAGGUCACCAUUGAUCAGCUUUAUGAAGAACGGUAGUUAUACAGAGUAUCGUUAGAGGGGUAAUCCAGUUUGUGUGUUGUGUGUAUUGUUUUGUGAGCAUUCAAUGGAUAGAACUAGAAAGAGUGUGACCUUUUUCCUUUUUUUCUUCUAGUUGCUGCCCAUAUUCUCAGCACUAUUUUCUUCCUUCUUUUCCUCAGUUUUUUCUUAAGAAAUGAAUAUUAUGAUGUUGCUGGGAUGCACUUUCAUUUUUGUUCCAUUACAUUGUGUUUUAUUCAUAUCCUAAACAAAUAAAUGUAAACAAGAAAAUCAAAUAAGACUUCAAAGAGUCUGUUCCUUUUAAAGCAAGGGAAAAAAAGGACAUGUUUGUUUACUUCCACAGCUGGGUAGAUUCAACUCCACCAAAAUUGGCAACAACUUCCCAUUGAAAAAUUCCUUCUAAGCUUGAAUGACAUAAAACUAGAUAUGUUCCAGCUAGAAUGGUACAAAAAAGAAAUCAAAAGAUGAGCACAAUGGGUUAUUAUGACAGCUUUAGAAACCAUCUUACAACACAUCCAUCAGAAUUUAGACUAUUCAUAGAAACAUUCUUAACAUGUAAAUCUACUAUUGCCAUGCACGUCAACAUAGAAUUUCUAAAAUGAUUGAAUAAAAUAAAUAAAACAAAAGAAACCCUUCCAAGAGAAUUUCAUAAUCUAAUGUCAAAUCUAUUACGAAGAUGAACAUGUAAAAUUUAAGGUUUAUAAUCAAAGUCGACUUGAAUCUGAGUUUUAAAACCAAUUUGCAGUUUUUAAGUUUGGAGACUAGAUCUCUUAAACCAAUUAAAUGUAAAAAACUAAAAAGAAAACUUCUUCAAAUUUUGAAAUGAGAAUGAGAAUGCAAUUCCUAACUAGUUUCUUCAUCAAAAAUCCCGAAAAAAAAAAAAAAAGAAGAGAGAGAGAGACCAUAGACGCCAGUGUUUGGGUUUAGAACCACCCAAGAGAGAGUAGUCCAAUAUAUGGGCUUAAGAAAAUCCUCAUGGGCCUAAGCUAAGACUAGGAACAAUCUUGUAUCCGUGGUUGGUUUAGUAUGAGCAUGUGUACUGCGAAGGAAGUAGCUGAGAAUUGCAAUGGAAUUUCCAGUACUGCUUCCUGAACGAACAAAUCGCAUACCCAAGAUUUGGUCGUCAACGCCAUGCUGGGUGAGAACCGGGGAAGCAUCUUCGCUCGUUGACGAGCUUUUGUAGUCCUUCUUUAACAAUUAUAAGGCAUCUGAAUUCCCUUCAUCCUCCCACACCAUUGUUUUUGGUCUUGUUCUUGUUGCUUUGUGACUACGCAUCUCCAUGGAAGGAAGGAGGAUGAACCAAGUUCCUUUGUAUGCAUCAAUUUUACUGUUUUUUUUUUCCUUUUUAAUCUUUGGAUCGAAUCAUUGCUUAGUUCUUGCUUAAUUUCUCCAUUUUAUGUUGGGUCUUUGAUUGCAGGUUUAGCUCUGCGCGAGAACUGGGAAAUUUAAUUGUGACCUCCAAUCUAAUCGACUCUGCUUUGACUAAAAUUCUUGAGCUUCAAAGAGACCAAACAGCCUUGCCUUCCCCCGUUCAAUACAGAGUUUUUUAUCCAUCUCCCAAGUGCACAAUUGUAGCUUUUGUCUCUUCACCUGACUGCACUCAAAACCCUCUUCCUGGACAAGGAGAUUUAGUUCCCUCUCCUCUCUUUGACUUCCUCUGCACCGAAGAAUACCCUUCCGUCUCCAUUAACGGAGCCGCAUUAACCCUCUUUACCUCUCUCUACGAUCAUCUCUCUGGACUAAUAGAUGAGGUCAAAAUCUGAUACUUGUUUUAAUUUACGUUAACUUUUCGUUAACAAUUGUGAGACACGUAUAUAUAUAUAUAUAUAUAUAUAUCUUGUGGAUAAAAGGAAAGUUUACAAGUGAGAAUAGUGGCAUUUUUCUGACAGAUUUCACACCGUUGCUUGUUUUGCACUUGACUGUGAUUGAAGGUCGAUUAAUCAUCACUGGGCACUCGAUGGGAGGAUCCGUUGCUUCUCUCUUCACCUUAUGCCUGCUAGAAGUCAUUAAUAUAUCAAAACCCAAAUGCCGCCCCAUUUGCAUCACAUUUGGUUCACCCCUCAUAGGCGACUUUGGCUUCCAACACUCCAAUUGGA
rnacentral:lncRNA from 1 species